CCUUCUCUAUCUUGAUUGUAUCAUCCUUCUUUUCCUUUUUCUUCUCAUCUUUUUCCUUCUUAUCCUUGUUUUUCUUUUUCUUAUUAUCUUCACUAUCAACCUCUUUUCCUUUUUGCUUCAAUGUAUCUGUUUCAUCCUCCCUAUCAUGUUUUUCUUUUUUCUUCUUCUUUUCCUUUUUUCCUUUCUUCUCUUCACCACCCUCUCCUUCAACUUCGCCCUUGUCCUUGGUUUCGUUUUUCUUCUCCUUCUUCUUUUCCUUCUUCCCUUCACCAUCCUCUCCCAUGCUCUUAUCUUUCUUUAUGUCAGUUUCUUCAUCCUUCUCUUUCUUUUCUUUUUUC
rnacentral:lncRNA from 1 species